CCCUAAAAGCUUUAUGGAGUAGAUUUGUUUAGAAGAAAGUUAAAAAGUGUUUAGCUGGGGUAGUUGUUAUGGUCGAGUUAUAAUUAGAAAAGACAAGGAAAAAUGAGUUAUAGGUCCUUUAGAUAAGGAAAACUUGAGUUAGUUACUUUAGGGAUAACAGCGCAAUAACUUCGGGGAGACCUUAUUUAUGAAGUUGAUUACGACCUCGAUGUUGAAUUAAAAGUUCGUGAGAAGCAAAAG
rnacentral:rRNA from 1 species